ensembl:lncRNA
CCUGGGGACAGCGGGUGGCCGUCCCGCUGCGCGCCGCGCAGAGCUCAGCCGGCAGGAUGCGCGUGCACCCGGCGAUUAGAUGCUAUCUGCUUAUCGGCGGCUGCAGGGCCGGCUCUGGGCGAGGGAAGGAGAUAGCGAGCAGCGGCCGAGAGGAGAUGCGGCAGCCGAUGGGAUUUCUCUCUCUCUCCACAUCCAAUUCCAAGUUCAGUGGCCGCCCAGGAUCGCCCGCUGCCAGCUCCAUCGCUCAGCAGGGCUGGAGCUCUGCCCUCUCAUCCAGCGCUACUUGCAGCCCUCUGCUCCGUCGGGGCCGUGUUUACACACACAGGGCAGCCCUGUUUUCCUUAGGUGUAAUUAUGCCAUCUGUAAUGCGGUUGCAAACUGUUUCUCAUGGUGGAGGGAAGGAGCUGCUGCGCUGUGCUGCUGCUCGUUGCAGCCCCCGCUGUCCCUGCGGCUUUCUUCCCACCCUGCUUCUCCCAAGGACGCAGCCGUCCCCGCUUGUGGGGCCCAUGUGAUGCUCUGGACACGUUCACGCUGACAUCCCCCUGCCCAGAUGGGAGACUCGGCUGCAGCAGAGGCUGUGUGGAGAGAUUGGGUGAUGGGAAUGUCAUCUGCGAUUCGAUUAUCUCCUCCUGCCUUGCCUUUUUUAUUUUUUUUUUCUUCCUUGUGAAACCUUCAUCAAAAUACAUAGAUCUAAUUAGGACAAUUACAGCGCGAGGACAGCUGAGAACCCACCCAGGCCCUCUCUGCACCGAGCUGAGUGUUGGCUGCUUGGAAACCAGCAGCUGGGGGGGUCCCGUGUGGCACUGCUCGGGGGCGGCGGUGACAUCGGGGUUCCCUGCCAGGCAGGCGGCCUCGGCUUUGUCCCCACAGCUGUGCCAUCAGCAUCUGCUGGUGACGGAUCUGUGUCACGAGCUGCAGGGUCUCAGCACCUCGCUGACACACUGCAGGGGGAGCCGCCCCCCAUCCCGGCACACGGGGCAAAGCGUCCCCACCCCUGGGGGUGCUGCUCUGCGAGGAGAGGCCGCCCGUCAGCCUGCAGCUCCGCGUCCCUCAUUGGUAUUCUGUUCCCGCUCGGUGGCAGCCGGCAGGAUGGGAGCGGAGUGACAGCGGUGACAGAUGGAGGCUGGAGGUGAGAUGGAGGCAGAAGGCAGACGUGGGGCCAACCUGGAGGGACUGAGCACCAUCCACACUGCCUCACCUCCUCACCACCCCAUUCCCAGGGAUCAGCCCAG